rnacentral:rRNA from 1 species
CCUACGGGAGGCAGCAGUGGGGAAUAUUGCACAAUGGGCGCAAGCCUGAUGCAGCAACGCCGCGUGAGGGACGAAGGCCUUCGGGUUGUAAACCUCUUUUAGUAGGGAAGAAGCGACUGGGUUUUCCUGGGAGUGACGGUACCUGCAGAAAAAGCACCGGCUAACUACGUGCCAGCAGCCGCGGUAAU